GGGGGGCGGCGGCCCCGCCCCGGCGGGCGGGGGAGCAGGUGGCGGGACGGUGCGCGGACUGGGGGAGGGGCCGGAAGGGGCCCGCGGGAGCCGGGGCCGCUGGGCGCGCCCCCAGCGCAUGUCCUCCUCCUCCUGGCCUCCCAGCUCCUGCUGCUCCUUUGGCGACUCGGGCUCUACGAAUAUCUUAGAAGAACACCGUUUGACCAGAGGACCAGGCUCCCUUUCUGGCUUCGGCUCUCAGUCCCUCUGUAUCUCGCUCAAGCAAAUCAAUUACGUUCAUCCUCCAUCUCCCAGCCUCAGUUUCCUCGCCUGUGACACGGCAGAGAUGGACCAGGAAGACCUUCCUGGACACAUCAGCGCACACUACAUUUUUUGUGACUCUGGGGAUAGGGCCGGGAGGAUUCAGGGCUGGGCUCCAGCUGCUAAGACGGCAGCGGGAAGACAGCCUGACCCGAGAGCCAGCCUUCUUAUCUGCGCCAGAGACCUCACGGUGUCCUGCCACGACCCGUACCCCCAUGGCCUCCAUCCGGGACUGCUGCACAGCUCUGUUCUGAGUCCCCGCCCUGCGAAGGAGGCAACUUUCCCUUCAGGAGACUCAACAGAGGAAAAGUGAUCUCAUAAAAAGUCCCAGAGAGACUGGAACUAAUGUCAGCAUCAUGCACACUGAAAUGUACCCUCUUCAAUUCAACAAAGGUUUAUUGAGCAUCUGUCUGUACAGACCUUGUGCUGGGUGCUAGGCUGUUGUUGUUCAGUCGCUAAGUCAUGUCCGACUCUUUGUUACCCGAGCACACCAGGCUUCCCUGUCCUUCACUGUCUCCCAGAGUUUGCUCAAAUUCAUGUCCAUUGAGUCAGUGAUGCCAUCCAACCAUCGCAUCCUCUGUCAUCCCCUUCUCCUCCUGCCCUCAGUCUUUCCAAACAUCAGGGUCUUUUUCAGUGAGUUAGCUCUUUGCAUCAGGUGGCCAAAGUAUUGGAGUUUCAGCUCCAGCAUCAGUCCGUCCAAUUAAUAUUCAGGGUUGAUUUCCUUAAGAAUUGACUGGUUUAAUCUCCUUGCUGUCCAAGGGACUCUCAAGAGCCUUCUCCAGCACCACAGUUUGAAAGCAUCAGUUCUUCAGUGCUCAGCCUUCAUGGUCCAACUCUCACAUCCAUACAUGACUACUGGAAAAGCCAUAGCCUGGACUAGAUGGAGAUAACAGAG
ensembl:lncRNA